rnacentral:lncRNA from 1 species
UGCUUUGCUGUUGCAGAAUUAGAGCAUUUAAUUCCUGAUCCGCCUAAAGUUGAUUUGACUUUGGCAAGAGUGGUAAUCGCCAUUCAGACUGGAAGCUUUUUCGGUGGAGUAGUUGUUGGUGUCUGUUGGAGAUCGUGUCUUGGCAGAGGGUUUUGUGCUCUUGUAUUUAGGUGUGCGGAGUACCAUUUUUCAAUGGCUUG